rnacentral:lncRNA from 1 species
AAAAAUUGGCAUUUUUGCACCAAAGGGAGAUAAUUUGGAGCUUUUUCAAUGAUAUAAACAUUUUAAAAGUCAUCUGGGGCCAAACCGAAUCGAUUUUUUGGGUUGAUUUUUUUUACCAUAUCAUAAAGUAAUAACUAAUAGUGUAAUAAAUAAAAUUUGUAAUGAAAAAAUAAAGGUUCAUUUUUUUUGCAGAAAUUUUUGUACCCACGAGCCACCUUAA